UCACAACUGAAAGAGUUUGCCUUGAGCCUCAGAUGAGACUUUGGAUUUAGGCAUUUGAGUGAAGUCGAAAUGAGUUCAGAUGUUGGGCACAUCGAUGAGGAAUGUAUAUAAAAUGUGUUUGGAGAAGAACAUGAACACUGGUAGUCAAGAUGGAACAAUGAAGUUUAUACUCAGCAGUGUUUCUCAAGCUUCCAAUGCUGGACACAUUUAAUACAAUUUUCAUUGUUGGGCUGACCCCUAACCAUAAUUGCUACUUCAUAACUGUAAAUUUGCCACUGUUAUGAAUCAUAAUAUAAAUCUCUGAUAUGUAGGAUAUCAGAUAUGGGAUGCCCCACCAAGGAGCUACAACCCACAGGUUGAGAACCACUAUUACUCAGUAACAUAAAUCCUUGCAAAAGAUUCAUCUACCGGAAGUGUGGGUCUCAGUCUAAGGAUGAAAGGUGGAAGAACCAUUAAGAGGUCUGACCUAAUAAAAGGGAGAUACCACCUCAGAAGUAACGGAUUCAUCCGGAGCACAGCAGCCAGGCAACGCUCUACAGAGAUUCCAAAGGCAGGAGGAUGGUCUCCAUGGGAACCAAGGGGGACUUUUCAGAAGAAAUGAGGGUUGACUGUUAUGUUACUUAAGGAAAAGGGGGUUAAGUCUUGGCAUCCCAGCCACAAAAUUCAUAUACAUAUAAGAUUCUCUUUUCCUCCAUACCUAUGCCCUGCCUCAAAGAAAGGAAGAAAGGAAAAAGAAAGAAAGAAAGAAAGAAAGAAAGAAAGGAAGAAAGGAAGGAAGGAAGAAAGAAAGAAGGAAGACAAAGAAAGAAAGGAAAUAAACCUGAAAAUUACAUCAAGCCCCAUCUACAGAGAUUUACCACCUGUGAUCAUCACAUAGAAAGAGAAUCCUUAAGACUCUUUGCUACUCAUGAUCUUGAGAAACAGGAAGAUUCUACUAAAAAUACCCUGAGGUGCUGGAGCACAAGCCUGGGAAACAUAAGAAAGUUUGGGUAUCAGCAAGGAGACACCAGUGUGUAA
rnacentral:lncRNA from 1 species